rnacentral:rRNA from 1 species
AGAUUGAACGCUGGCGGAAUGCUUUACACAUGCAAGUCGAGCGGCAGCGCGGGGCAACCUGGCGGCGAGCGGCGAACGGGUGAGUAAUGCAUCGGAACAUGUCCAUGUCGUGGGGGAUAGCCCGGCGAAAGCCGGAUUAAUACCGCAUACGCCCGAGAGGGGAAAGUGGGGGACCGCAAGGCCUCACGCGAUUGGGUUGGCCGAUGUCCGAUUAGCUAGUUGGCGGGGUAAAGGCCACCAAGGCGAUGAUCGGUAGCUGGUCUGAGAGGAUGAUCAGCCACACUGGGACUGAGACACGGCCCAGACUCCUACGGGAGGCAGCAGUGGGGAAUUUUGGACAAUGGGGGCAACCCUGAUCCAGCCAUUCCGCGUGAGUGAAGAAGGCCUCGGUUGUAAAGCUCUUUGUCCGGAACGAAACGGUAGACGUGAAUAUCGCUGCCUACUGACGGUACCGGAGAAUAAGCACCGCUAACUACGUGCAGCAGCCG